AUUGCCUUAUAUGGUGAUAGAUGGUAGCUAUAGUGUGGGAAGCACAGCAUAAUAGGUAGAUUUGUCUAAUCAGCAUGUUGUACACCUGAAACUAAUGUAAUAUCAUCAUGUGUCAGCUACACUUCGAUUAAAAAGAAGGAAUAUUAGACUUUUUUUUGUGAAGCCUUGAAAUAGGAACAUUCUAAAAUGAGAAAACAGUUUAAGUUUUCAUUAUAGUUUUACACCUGAAGUAGAAAUGGGAUGCAAGAAAGAGAAGAACUGUAAAUAACUUUCACUAACUGAUACAGGUUGGUAUUACACACACAUCUAAAUAUACAAAGGUCAAGUAUUUAGUGAACUGGGGAGACUGGAAAGAAACCAAAGGAUGUUUCAACCCCUUGUUCCAGUUUCUCUUCCAUCCAGCAGAAACUAUUUCUGAUGUGUGAAUGCCAGCCUUGGUUUCCAGAACCAGACUCUAACUGCAGCACUUUCUGGAUGAAACAGACCUGAAGUCGUGGGGCAGGUGCUUUUCCCAGGGCUUCCCCCAGGCGCCCGUGACAGGUCACCCUGAGUCCUAUCAGGACACCGGACUUUGGCCGGUGUCGUUAUUGUCCACGUUAUUGCUGCCGAGCGCGGAAAACCGCAAGUGUUCAUCUGGGCCGGACCAGAAGCUUCUCUAAACUUGGAGGUCCUUAAAGCGGAAGGAGCACAGCCAUCGCCCGUCUCCCAUCUCCAAGAUGGCGGAGGCAGCUUCAACCUCACCUCUCGCGAGGAGUGUGUCUCACUGUCUCCGAUUAGCCCCGAGGUCAGAGGUAUAACAAAGGCUCUUGAGAGCUCAGGCGCCAGAAUUUUGGCAAUGAAAGAAGACACCCAGUCCCUCUGAAGGCUCCCAUCGCUGUAGUGUUCUGCACGUGCUGUUGAAAAUCAUGAACUGCUGCGGCUGUUUUCCCACCAUCUGCCUCCUGGUGCGUGCCCCUCCCCUCUGUGUAGAUCUGAGCCUGGAAAUCUGGAUAGUAGGCUGUUGACAAACUCCAUGGCUCUAUUACACUUUUCCUGAUCCACUCCCCCCCGCCCCCCCUCCCCCGCCAACCCCCUUAAAUCCUGAUGUUUCCCCAGGGUUCCAUCCUCAGCCCUUCUCUGACUCUAAACACCCUGCUGCUUGAAUUCAAUAAAAUGCUAUGAUUUCCUAAA